GUGGGGAAUAUUGGACAAUGGGCGCAAGCCUGAUCCAGCAAUGCCGCGUGGGUGAAGAAGGUCUUCGGAUCGUAAAGCCCUUUCGACAGGGACGAUGAUGACGGUACCUGUAGAAGAAGCCCCGGCUAACUUCGUGCCAGCAGCCGCGGUAAUACGAAGGGGGCUAGCGUUACUCGGAAUUACUGGGCGUAAAGGGCGCGUAGGCGGCUCUGUUAGUCAGGCGUGAAAUUCCUGGGCUUAACCUGGGGACUGCGCUUGAUACUGCAGGGCUUGAGGCCGAGAGAGGGUGGUGGAAGUCCCAGUGUAGAGGUGAAAAUCGUAGAUAUUGGGAAGAACACCGGUGGCGAAGGCGACCACCUGGCUCGGUUCUGACGCUGAGGCGCGACAGCGUGGGGAGCAAACAGGAUUAGAUACCCCGGUAGUCC
rnacentral:rRNA from 1 species